UGGGGAAUUUUGGACAAUGGGCGCAAGCCUGAUCCAGCAAUGCCGCGUGCAGGAUGAAGGCCUUCGGGUUGUAAACUGCUUUUGUACGGAACGAAAAGCCUCUCUCUAAUACAGGGGGGUGAUGACGGUACCGUAAGAAUAAGCACCGGCUAACUACGUGCCAGCAGCCGCGGUAAUACGUAGGGUGCAAGCGUUAAUCGGAAUUACUGGGCGUAAAGCGUGCGCAGGCGGUUUUGUAAGACAGUGGUGAAAUCCCCGGGCUCAACCUGGGAACUGCCAUUGUGACUGCAAGGCUGGAGUGCGGCAGAGGGGGGAUGGAAUUCCGCGUGUAGCAGUGAAAUGCGUAGAUAUGCGGAGGAACACCGAUGGCGAAGGCAAUCCCCUGGGCCUGCACUGACGCUCAUGCACGAAAGCGUGGGGAGCAAACAGGAUUAGAUACCCUGGUAGUCCACGCCCUAAACGAUGUCAACUGGUUGUUGGGGAUUUAUUUCUUCAGUAACGAAGCUAACGCGUGAAGUUGACCGCCUGGGGGAGUACGG
rnacentral:rRNA from 1 species